UAUCCAAAGCGCCUCGGGUAUUCCAAAUGCUUGAGCGGAAGUGACCGCCAAAGUGGUCAAUCAGAAAACGCGGUGCUCCAACUUGCCGUUCCGGGCUGGCCGGGAUGGAGCGUGGUCCCACGAAUCUCACUUUAGGAAGCACCCCGUUUACACCGACAACGUCAACCUUCCACAAGCGAGCUGGUGGCAGAAAACGAAAUGCUGAAUUCCUCUGGAGUCCCUCCUCCAAAAGAGCGCCUGGGACGGCUGCGCAGGUGCAGAUAUACCUAGUAAGAAGAUAGAAGACUUACUUUCAUCAUCUGAAUCAAAUCCAAAGAGUGCCUGACAUUUCUUUUGUGCAAGAACAUCUAGAACAGAGAGCUGUUUUACUAAUGGAAAGUCUCCAACCAAUCCUCCAAGCUCAAACCAAGAGAGAAGGAAGAAGUUUUAAUUUUUUAGAUCAAUGGCCUAUGAAGCAGUAAGGAGGAAUCUACAACGAAGACAACCACUCCUUUGUAAGACUUUCUUAUACCUCAGGGUAUUGGGACACACUACCUUUGGUCUGGGUUAUACCUUCAUUUGCUCAAUAGAAGGAACACUCUCAUGCAGAGCCAUAUAUCCCAUUUUUAAUGCAGGUGUAACAGUCAUAUCAGGAUUCCUGUUUCAUGGGCUCUGUUGCACACUCAGUACACUUUCAACAAGCACCAAGAACUCUCUUCCUCCCUGGCUACUUGAAGAUCAGCCACCAUCAUGAACAACACAGUAUCUAUCCAGGGAUCAGGUAGUUCAUGACCAACAGACUACUUUAGUGGAAACAAAUGGCCGCUGACAUUCUCCACCCUGGGAAAGAAACAGUACAUAAGACAGAGUUCAGGGAAAAAAAAAUUAGCUAAAUUAUAUAAGACCACACCAGACGUCAUCUUUGUAUUUGGAUUCAGAACUCACUUCGGUGGUGGCAAGACCACUGGCUUUGGCAUAAUUUAUGAUUUCAAAGAAAAAUGAACCCAAACAUAUACUUGCAAGACAUGGCCUGUAUGAUAAGACAACAACCUCAAGAAAAGAAUGAAAGGACCAUAAAAGAGAAUAAAGAAAGUUAAGGGGGCUGCAAAGGCCAGUGUUGGUGCUGACACAAAUGAGCUGGAGGUUGGAUGAAAAAAGGAGUAAAGAUUCUUUAGUGACUUUAUCUGCGGUGACUGUGCCAAUUUUUUAUGAAAGCAUUAAUAAA